UGAAAUUACUAGCAUUUGGCGCGCAGUUCAACCGACGGCAGGACAGGAGUGAACGGCUGAACGCUGAAAACCAGUGUGUUGGCUUGCGAAUCGCGAAAAUGUAAAAUAUAAAUUCCGCCUUAGCGGAAUAUCAGGGCUAAAAUCGUGCUAAAUGUCUCUCAGGCGUGCUUCUCUCAGGUCUUUGAAAAUUCACACAUUUUGAUCGUAAAUCAAGUGAACAAGCCUCGAUUGGCGCCCAAUUUAACGACUUAUUUGGGUCUGUUACAUUUUUAAUUGGAAUAUAGCCCACAAGUCUACAGUUUUGACACUUUGUCAUUUUCGAGUUCAUCAGCUCCAGUUAAGAUGAAAAAAAGCGUCUGGAUGUUCUUCAGUAUGUGUCGGUGGUUAAAAUCAUAAAGGUUUGGAACAACAUGAUGGUUUUGUGCCCGUCUCUCCGUCACCUCCAGCUCCAGCGGGACGCAGGACACUUCCCGCCCGUCUCUGCUGCUCAGGUGAGGAGAUCUCACAGGUCAAGCCCCAGAGGAGCAGCGUGUCUUUCUGAUGGUAGCAGUCAAGCCUCUCAUCCGCAGUGAAGGAUGGAGGGGGGUAGGAUGGAUUAACAGGAACCAGAGUCGUCAGCACAAGUAGAACAGGCAUGCACCUGUGAAAGUGGAUGAUGUUGGGCAGUUCUGCCCAAUGAUUUAGUUUUAGAUUUUAUGCAUUUAAAUGCACCAAAUUGAAGUGCACCAUCAUGGGUCAAAUUAAAUGUGACUAAAGAUUUCCAAAACACUUGUCAUUCACAUAGUUCUACACAGCUUACCAUGUUUAAAUCUAUUCUACAGACUUUUUCCCCAAACCAGUGCAGCAAAUGCAAGAAAAAUUAACAACUGUAACAUUACAGCAGACCUUGCAGGCAAACCACCAACUCCAGUCAAAUACAGCCAUGUGUCUUAUUAAUGAUGGAGGCGGAAAGAAGCCACACUUUUCAUUAACCUUCAGGAUUCAUAAUUCACAAGCCCAUGUUCUUCUCUGCCAGCCGUCACAGAUACUGAUGACUUCCUGUAACUGUUGCUUAUUAAAGCAGCCAAUCAGUGUUUACAUGAUGUCAUUCUCCUGCAGCUCCAGUUAUAAGUCACAUGGCAUUUACAGCUCAAAGUUUUCUGGUCCCAUCAUGUGCCAAGAUGGACUUCUGCAGUUCCUGCGGCAGCUGAGCAACUGCCAUUGAGAUGAAUGGGGCUGAUAAUGGAUUCUUUCCCCAGAAUAACACACUUCAGUAGCCCUUCAGAAAGCUGUCAGACUCCACCCUGGUGCUGCAUCCUUCUGAUCUAAAGUGAGAGAGAGACAGAGGACAAUGCAGGAGAAACGGCAUGGAAUGUCUUGGUCUCCAUGGUGUGGAUUGGGCCUGUUUUUCUCCUGUUCUCAUCUCGUCUCGAUCCUCCUCCAUCUUUUAUACUCUUGAACUGGAUGGAUGUUGGUUCAAUGCGAGCGUCUCUCUGAUUCUCUCGCUGUGUUCCUCUGGUGCGCCCGCUGUCACAUCAAACAUGCCCAGCAGGGCUCUGAUGCUGGAGACGGUUCAUCUGCAGGCAGGAGAGGAGCGUGUCAAACACAUCAGCAGAUGGUGAACAGCAUCAAAAGACCCGCUGGGCUGCACUGCUGUCAUCAGAGAUCAGAGGCCGCGACACUGACCAAACGGCAUAAGUGAAGAGCAUGAAGAGUCAAACAAAGCUCGUUUUCUGAGAUGUGCAGAUGGAGGGGUCAGAAUCUGGCAUAGAUGGCUUGAAAACAUGGACCCGACCAUCAAAUAGAGACUUCGUACCAUGACACCAGGCAAACUGUGUGUCAGUUGCCUGAACAUAUUUGUGAUGUCUGCAGAUCUCAGACCAGUGAAAUAUUGUUGGAAUAAGGUCGAACAGGAGUGUUCCUCGUAAUCUGUCAUCAAAAUGUAAUAACCUGCUCCACCUCUGACGUCAACAAGCUCUCUUAUUUUGUAUGUACCAAUGAUUUCUAAUGAUCCAAUCAAUUCAUAAUUCAUAAAAUUAAGC